GGGUGGACUUGAGCAGAAUAUCAUUUUCUUUUUAAGAGGAGCAGCUCACCGCUUCGGUCAACCAACCCUGUGGACUAUAGGAUCCUAGAUGGCUUUUCAAGACUGACUGUUCCGCGGCAAUUCGUCUUCUGUAGCCAGAAAGGAACCAUGUCGUCCUCCCAUGUUUUGAUAUGACAUCGGAAUCUUGACCUGUGAAUUCUCCUGCCACUGGGGAUUUUAAAGGAAUUCUCAACUACUCUUCGGUUGCACUGUAUGGCCACCUAGUAUCAGAGGCCCUGUCAGGUAAGGAAAUUAUGUUUUUCCCCCAAACAAUAUGUAUGUACCUUUGUUAUUUUAUAAUGUGUCAA
rnacentral:lncRNA from 1 species